rnacentral:rRNA from 1 species
UAUCUGGUUGAUUCUGCCAGUAGUCAUAUGCUUGUCUCAAAGAUUAAGCCAUGCAUGUCUAAGUAUAAGCACUUUAUACUGUGAAACUGCGAAUGGCUCAUUAAAUCAGUUAUCGUUUAUUUGAUAGUACCUUACUACAUGGAUACCUGUGGUAAUUCUAGAGCUAAUACAUGCUGAAAACCUCGACUUCGGAAGGGGUGUAUUUAUUAGAUAAAAAACCAAUGCCCUUCGGGGCUCCUUGGUGAAUCAUAAUAACUUAACGAAUCGCAUGGCCUUGCGCCGGCGAUGGUUCAUUCAAAUUUCUGCCCUAUCAACUUUCGAUGGUAGG